rnacentral:rRNA from 1 species
GAUUAAGUUAUUAAGGGCGCACUGUGGAUGCCUUGGCACUAGAAGCCGAUGAAGGACGUUACUAACGACGAUAUGCUUUGGGGAGCUGUAAGUAAGCUUUGAUCCAGAGAUUUCCGAAUGGGGAAACCCAGCAUGAGUUAUGUCAUGUUAUCGAUAUGUGAAUACAUAGCAUAUCAGAAGGCACACCCGGAGAACUGAAACAUCUUAGUACCCGGAGGAAGAGAAAGAAAAUUCGAUUCCCUUAGUAGCGGCGAGCGAAACGGGAAGAGCCCAAACCAGCAAGCUUGCUUGUUGGGGUUGUAGGACACUCUAUACGGAGUUACAAAGGACGACAUUAGACGAAUCAUCUGGAAAGAUGAAUCAAAGAAGGUAAUAAUCCUGUAGUCGAAAAUGUUGUCUCUCUUGAGUGGAUCCUGAGUACGACGGAGCACGUGAAAUUCCGUCGGAAUCUGGGAGGACCAUCUCCUAAGGCUAAAUACUCUCUAGUGACCGAUAGUGAACCAGUACCGUGAGGGAAAGGUGAAAAGCACCCCGGAAGGGGAGUGAAAUAGAACCUGAAACCGUGUGCUUACAAGUAGUCAGAGCCCGUUAAUGGGUGAUGGCGUGCCUUUUGUAGAAUGAACCGGCGAGUUACGAUUUGAUGCAAGGUUAAGCAGUAAAUGUGGAGCCGUAGCGAAAGCGAGUCUGAAUAGGGCGUUUAGUAUUUGGUCGUAGACCCGAAACCAGGUGAUCUACCCUUGGUCAGGUUGAAGUUCAGGUAACACUGAAUGGAGGACCGAACCGACUUACGUUGAAAAGUGAGCGGAUGAACUGAGGGUAGCGGAGAAAUUCCAAUCGAACCUGGAGAUAGCUGGUUCUCUCCGAAAUAGCUUUAGGGCUAGCCUCAAGUGAUGAUUAUUGGAGGUAGAGCACUGUUUGGACGAGGGGCCCCUCUCGGGUUACCGAAUUCAGACAAACUCCGAAUGCCAAUUAAUUUAACUUGGGAGUCAGAACAUGGGUGAUAAGGUCCGUGUUCGAAAGGGAAACAGCCCAGACCACCAGCUAAGGUCCCAAAAUAUAUGUUAAGUGGAAAAGGAUGUGGCGUUGCCCAGACAACUAGGAUGUUGGCUUAGAAGCAGCCAUCAUUUAAAGAGUGCGUAAUAGCUCACUAGUCGAGUGACACUGCGCCGAAAAUGUACCGGGGCUAAACAUAUUACCGAAGCUGUGGAUUGUCCUUUGGACAAUGGUAGGAGAGCGUUCUAAGGGUGUUGAAGCAUGAUCGUAAGGACAUGUGGAGCGCUUAGAAGUGAGAAUGCCGGUGUGAGUAGCGAAAGACGGGUGAGAAUCCCGUCCACCGAUUGACUAAGGUUUCCAGAGGAAGGCUCGUCCGCUCUGGGUUAGUCGGGUCCUAAGCUGAGGCCGACAGGCGUAGGCGAUGGAUAACAGGUUGAUAUUCCUGUACCACCUAUAAUCGUUUUAAUCGAUGGGGGGACGCAGUAGGAUAGGCGAAGCGUGCGAUUGGAUUGCACGUCUAAGCAGUAAGGCUGAGUAUUAGGCAAAUCCGGUACUCGUUAAGGCUGAGCUGUGAUGGGGAGAAGACAUUGUGUCUUCGAGUCGUUGAUUUCACACUGCCGAGAAAAGCCUCUAGAUAGAAAAUAGGUGCCCGUACCGCAAACCGACACAGGUAGUCAAGAUGAGAAUUCUAAGGUGAGCGAGCGAACUCUCGUUAAGGAACUCGGCAAAAUGACCCCGUAACUUCGGGAGAAGGGGUGCUCUUUAGGGUUAACGCCCAGAAGAGCCGCAGUGAAUAGGCCCAAGCGACUGUUUAUCAAAAACACAGGUCUCUGCUAAACCGUAAGGUGAUGUAUAGGGGCUGACGCCUGCCCGGUGCUGGAAGGUUAAGAGGAGUGGUUAGCUUCUGCGAAGCUACGAAUCGAAGCCCCAGUAAACGGCGGCCGUAACUAUAACGGUCCUAAGGUAGCGAAAUUCCUUGUCGGGUAAGUUCCGACCCGCACGAAAGGCGUAACGAUUUGGGCACUGUCUCAACGAGAGACUCGGUGAAAUCAUAGUACCUGUGAAGAUGCAGGUUACCCGCGACAGGACGGAAAGACCCCGUGGAGCUUUACUGUAGCCUGAUAUUGAAAUUCGGCACAGCUUGUACAGGAUAGGUAGGAGCCUUUGAAACGUGAGCGCUAGCUUACGUGGAGGCGCUGGUGGGAUACUACCCUAGCUGUGUUGGCUUUCUAACCCGCACCACUUAUCGUGGUGGGAGACAGUGUCAGGCGGGCAGUUUGACUGGGGCGGUCGCCUCCUAAAAGGUAACGGAGGCGCUCAAAGGUUCCCUCAGAAUGGUUGGAAAUCAUUCAUAGAGUGUAAAGGCAUAAGGGAGCUUGACUGCGAGACCUACAAGUCGAGCAGGGUCGAAAGACGGACUUAGUGAUCCGGUGGUUCCGCAUGGAAGGGCCAUCGCUCAACGGAUAAAAGCUACCCCGGGGAUAACAGGCUUAUCUCCCCCAAGAGUUCACAUCGACGGGGAGGUUUGGCACCUCGAUGUCGGCUCAUCGCAUCCUGGGGCUGUAGUCGGUCCCAAGGGUUGGGCUGUUCGCCCAUUAAAGCGGUACGCGAGCUGGGUUCAGAACGUCGUGAGACAGUUCGGUCCCUAUCCGUCGUGGGCGUAGGAAAUUUGAGAGGAGCUGUCCUUAGUACGAGAGGACCGGGAUGGACAUACCUCUGGUGUACCAGUUGUCGUGCCAACGGCAUAGCUGGGUAGCUAUGUGUGGACGGGAUAAGUGCUGAAAGCAUCUAAGCAUGAAGCCCCCCUCAAGAUGAGAUUUCCCAACUUCGGUUAUAAGAUCCCUCAAAGAUGAUGAGGUUAAUAGGUUCGAGGUGGAAGCAUGGUGACAUGUGGAGCUGACGAAUACUAAUCGAUCGAAGACUUAAUCAA